UACAGAGGUCCCGAGCGUUGUUCGGAUUUAUUGGGCGUAAAGGGCGCGUAGGCGGCCAUCUAAGUCAGACGUGAAAUCCCCCUGCUUAACCUGGGAACUGCGUCUGAUACUGGAAGGCUUGAGUAUGGGAGAGGGAUGUAGAAUUCCUGGUGUAGCGGUGAAAUGCGCAGAUAUCAGGAGGAACACCGGUGGCGAAGGCGGGUCUCUGGGCCGAUACUGACGCUGAGGAGCGAAAGCGUGGGGAGCGAACAGG
rnacentral:rRNA from 1 species